UACGUAGGGUGCAAGCGUUGUCCGGAAUUAUUGGGCGUAAAGAGCUCGUAGGCGGUCUGUCGCGUCUGCUGUGAAAACUCGGGGCUUAACCCCGGGCCUGCAGUGGGUACGGGCGGACUGGAGUUCGGCAGGGGAGACUGGAAUUCCUGGUGUAGCGGUGAAAUGCGCAGAUAUCAGGAGGAACACCGGUGGCGAAGGCGGGUCUCUGGGCCGAUACUGACGUAGGAGCAAAGCGAGGGCGAGGAGGAAUG
rnacentral:rRNA from 1 species